rnacentral:rRNA from 1 species
AUUGAACGCUGGCGGCAGGCCUAACACAUGCAAGUCGAGCGGCAGCACGGGAAGCUUGCUUCCUGGUGGCGAGCGGCGGACGGGUGAGUAAUGCAUAGGAAUCUGCCCGGUAGUGGGGGAUAACCUGGGGAAACCCAGGCUAAUACCGCAUACGUCCUACGGGAGAAAGCAGGGGCUCUUCGGACCUUGCGCUAUCGGAUGAGCCUAUGUCGGAUUAGCUGGUUGGUGAGGUAAUGGCUCACCAAGGCGACGAUCCGUAGCUGGUCUGAGAGGAUGAUCAGCCACAUCGGGACUGAGACACGGCCCGAACUCCUACGGGAGGCAGCAGUGGGGAAUAUUGGACAAUGGGCGCAAGCCUGAUCCAGCCAUGCCGCGUGUGUGAAGAAGGCCCUCGGGUUGUAAAGCACUUUCAGUGGGGAAGAACGCCUUCCGGUUAAUACCCGGGAGGAAAGACAUCACCCACAGAAGAAGCACCGGCUAACUCCGUGCCAGCAGCCGCGGUAAUACGGAGGGUGCGAGCGUUAAUCGGAAUUACUGGGCGUAAAGCGCGCGUAGGUGGCUUGAUAAGCCGGUUGUGAAAGCCCCGGGCUCAACCUGGGAACGGCAUCCGGAACUGUCAGGCUAGAGUGCAGGAGAGGAAGGUAGAAUUCCCGGUGUAGCGGUGAAAUGCGUAGAGAUCGGGAGGAAUACCAGUGGCGAAGGCGGCCUUCUGGACUGACACUGACACUGAGGUGCGAAAGCGUGGGUAGCAAACAGGAUUAGAUACCCUGGUAGUCCACGCCGUAAACGAUGUCGACUAGCCGUUGGGUCCUUCGCGGACUUUGUGGCGCAGUUAACGCGAUAAGUCGACCGCCUGGGGAGUACGGCCGCAAGGUUAAAACUCAAAUGAAUUGACGGGGGCCCGCACAAGCGGUGGAGCAUGUGGUUUAAUU